rnacentral:sRNA from 1 species
GCAAAAAAAACGCCAAAUCCAGUUCUGUUAUAUAACUGGAACGGGGGAACCACUUAUACUUAUAGUGGGGUGAAACCGCGAUUAUAUGCGGUCGGGCGCCUUUCGACCGAACCCGUCAGCUAACCUCGUCGGCGAUAGGAGAGGGAGA